rnacentral:lncRNA from 1 species
GUCGGUCCACAGAGUUUGUGAUUGCUGCUGACAAGCCCAGAAUGCCAACUGAUUCUCUUCAGGAAAAGCAAGCUUUUCCAUGUGGCUCCAGAAGGUCCAACUCAGAUCAAUGAGCUUUGCCUUGCUGGGAGGCUGAUUUGGGUUCAGCAACAGGGGAAGGGAACCCACAUGCAAAUCCGAGAGGGCUGAACAUGGAAUGAGCACCUUGGGGAAGCAAUGAGAUACCUGCUACUGGAGGUACUCAAGCAAAAAUUGGUGCAGAAGAAGAGAUUCACCCAUUGGGUGUGAACUUGACUUAAAUGCCCUCAGCAGUCUGUGGCUGAAAUGAGAGUCUGUCAUUCUGUAGGUGUUUUAUGGACCAUCUACCUUCUCCUGUGUUACAGGUGCACCUUUGAACUGUCAGCACGUAGCAAUGAUGACAUUGAACAUUUAUCAAGGGCUACAGGCAUUUUUAAAAGUGUUUUACAUCGGCCAAACAAUUGUAGCUGCUUGUAGUUUGGAUCUUGAAUGUCCCUAAAGACCCGUGUGUUAAAGGCUUGGUCCUAGUCCAUGGUGCUAUUGAGAAGUGGUGGAGUCUUCUGGAAGGUGGGAGCCAGUGGAAGGGACUCAGGUCCUUGGGGGUGUGCUCUUAAAGGGGAUAUUGGAACCCAGCCCCUCCUUUUCCCCUCUCUCUGCUUUCCUCCUGCCAUGAGAUGAUGUAAGCACUUUCUCUGCCCCGGGCUCCACCAUCAUGUGCUGCCUCACCACAAGCGCAAAGACAACGGGCCAACCCACCAUGAAUUGAGACCUCCAAGACUGUGAGCCAAAACCAACACGUUCUUCUUCUCAGUUGAUUAUCUCAUGUAUUUGUUAUAACAGUGGAAAGUUGACGGACCCACUACCUAUGAGAUCCACAUUUCCAGCAUUCUCAUUAGUUGGAUGAGGAGACUAAGGCACAGAGAAAAUAGGUAAUUUCCUGAGGUUACAGAGCAAGUAAGUAUCAAAGCAAGGAUUUGAACCCAUGGACAGCUACGUCCUCAACCACUGCACCAGAUGUUUUAAUGGUGUUCCCAGGGCCUGGGAGGAUGGGUCUGUUUAUUGCCAAGCAUAACUUAACCAAGAUAGCAUCCAAGACCACUUCAUACACCAGGACAUCAGAAUAUUACUUCAUCUAGAUGCGCAUCACACAUGAUGAGCUCUGGGUGGAAAAAUGUGUGAUCAGUAUGAAUUGGUAACCCUUAC